rnacentral:lncRNA from 10 species
UUUUGCAAACCCAGGUCAGAGUGGAAAAUUCCCCUAGGGCUCAGGCUGUGAGAAACAUCCUGCCGGGCAAGUCCUAAGCCCAACCGCCUGAUCUCAGGAAAUUCCUCACUUAGCAACAGCUAACCACCCUGCCCACCCCACUUCACAACAAGCCCAGAUCUCUCCCACCCGGACCUAAACUUACCCAGUCUGUAAGCGGGGGCGGGCUCUGGCCUUAGUUGGUGUCCCCCUCCGCGGGUGUUUGUUCGGUAAACCUGUGUUGCUGUAGAGCCGCCUCCGUCCGUUUUUCCUCCCGUUCCUGCGCUAACAAUGACAUUAUACCAAAUGUAACUGGGAACCAGGAAGAAGAACUUGAUAACAGGACCUUGCAUAAUUAAUCGAUUGAUCACUGAACUUCAUUGUCAUAUUUCUACGGUCAAAUUUUGGGAGAAAGCUGUCGCAAAUUCAUCAGAGUGUAGCAAUGCCCGAGUUGUAACUGAGUUCCAUCUGGGUGAGCAGCCAGCUUAUAACAAUCUUGGAAAAGCUUGCAGGUUUCUCAAAAAAGCCUCAGAUAAAACCAAGAUAGAAAUUGUGCCUCAUAAUUGAUAUUUUGAGGAUUCCAUGAAGUAAUAAAUUUAUUAUGUGCUAAGAAAUAUGUGCCUGGUAUGUUGAUUUUUCUAAUUAUUAUUUUAUAUGUGAUAUAUACACAUACAUGUAGGUCAUAUAUAUAAAGUUAUGAUUCAUUCUAAAAG